CGUGAUAAAAAGCGCGUGAUAUCAUUAUUGAUAGAAGGCAUCAUCAGCAUUCGUUGCAUAUCUUCGUACGUGUGAUUAUCAGGCAAUUCUCGCGCGAUAAACAAUUCAUUAUCGCGACAUUCGAAAAAUCAAGUCGGCCUUUCUUGAUUCUGUUAAUUCGCAUCUUUUCGUUUUGAUAACAUGAAAAUUGAUAACAAGAGCUAAUUAUGAAUCGUACAUUUACAUGCUACACAUUGUACAUAUCGGUGUACGAUAAAUCAAAAUUGGAAUAUCAAUUGAGCGCGCGUCAAUAGAAUUUCAAGAGGUACUAGGUUCAAAGAUCUUUCACGAGAUCUCCGCCCGACACAAAUACCAAGGUUUUUGUUACAAAGUCGACCAUCAUUUUUUGCUACUGCUCGUAGUCUUCUUACUGUACGUGCGUGCCUGAUCCGUUUUACAGAAGCCGUUCGCAGCAUCUACACGAGACUGUGUACACGAGACUGGCCACUUAACACAUUCGGGAACUCCUCUUUGCUCUACGCAACGUGAAGUGGUAGUAACAGCGCUCUUAUCUUUCGUUAACACUGAAACGACUCUAGUUUAACUCGUGCAAUUACGAGAUUUCAGAGAGGAAGCGUAAUUCUUACGUCGGAUGCAUUUAUCAAGACCGAUUAAAUGCUAACGGAAAUUGGUUCAUUCAUUAGAGUAAAGUUAAUAUUUCUACGCAUGAAUCGUGCAGCGCUCGAAAACCAGGUCAAUGACUUGUAAUAGUCGUGUUUCGCGACAGGAGUAUGGAGAACAAUAGCAGCUGUCGAUUCGCGGAAUAACUAUGUGGACCGUAUCCUGUCUUUAGCAAUUUUUGUUUUCUGUAUAAAAUAUAGAAUAAAAUAUAUUUUUAUAAGAUUUUAUAAAUUUUAUAAAAACUUUUUAUAGAAGACAAGAUAUUUGUGAACAACAUUUAUGUAAAUGAGAAAAUAAUUUUACAUAUUUAGACAUAAAAUUUAAUAAAGAAAUUGAAAAGC